AGUAUGACCUGGAGCCCAACCAAGAGAGUGGAUAAAUGCAUGAGCAAAGAUCUCCCCGAAUCCCAACAUAACUCCAUUCAAGAAAGGAAGGCCCAAAUUAAUUGCCGCAUACUUGAAAAUAUGAAUAACUUGUGAAAACAAGGUUUUUGGAACUGUAACUGUAUUUUUCUCCAUCCUGCUUGUCCAACAAAUACUAUAACGAAACGAACCAACCGGUAAUCAACACAAUUUUCAAAUAACUCC